GCAAACUUGGUCAUUUAGAGGAAGUAAAAGUCGUAACAAGGUUUCCGUAGGUGAACCUGCGGAAGGAUCAUUAUUGUUUAGGGGGCCUCACCGUCCCUUUGCAACGAUGCAACCCUUUGUUCUUGCCGUAACCUGUGUUUCCCUUGGCGCCUCUGGGCGCCGCAUGGGACCUGAAACCCUUUGCAAUCGAGUAUUCUCAGUCGCAGAAAUUAUCAAAACUUUCAACAAUGGAUCUCUUGGCUCUGGCAUCGAUGAAGAACGCAGC
rnacentral:misc_RNA from 1 species